ACGAACGCUGGCGGCGUGCUUAACACAUGUAAGUCGAACGGAAAGGCCCUGCUUUUGUGGGGUGCUCGAGUGGCGAACGGGUGAGUAACACGUGAGUAACCUGCCCUUGACUUUGGGAUAACUUCAGGAAACUGGGGCUAAUACCGGAUAGGAGCUCCUGCUGCAUGGUGGGGGUUGGAAAGUUUCGGCGGUUGGGGAUGGACUCGCGGCUUAUCAGCUUGUUGGUGGGGUAGUGGCUUACCAAGGCUUUGACGGGUAGCCGGCCUGAGAGGGUGACCGGCCACAUUGGGACUGAGAUACGGCCCAGACUCCUACGGGAGGCAGCAGUGGGGAAUAUUGCACAAUGGGCGGAAGCCUGAUGCAGCAACGCCGCGUGCGGGAUGACGGCCUUCGGGUUGUAAACCGCUUUCGCCUGUGACGAAGCGUGAGUGACGGUAAUGGGUAAAGAAGCACCGGCUAACUACGUG
rnacentral:rRNA from 1 species